AACAAGUGUAGUUUUAUACCGUUCAUGUCUAACGUUUGACCGUUCAUCUUAUUUCUUAUUUAAAAUUUUUUUAUGAUUAGUAUUUUUGUUGUUAUUAGAUGAUAAAACAUGAAUAGUACUUUAUGUGACUAUUUGUUUUUAAUUUUUUUCAUAAAUUUUUUAAAUAAGACGAACGGUUAAAUAUUUAACAUGGAUAUCUACGAUUGCGUUUAUU
rnacentral:pre_miRNA from 1 species